CCAGCUGACUGUGGAAUUAAUCCACAUAGCUUUAUUGGCUAUAUAAAAAUCGCAUUGAACAAGAACUAGAAGUUGGGAAAUUGGGUUAACAUAUGAAGUACUCCCUCCGUUCCAAAUUAUUAGUCGUUUUGGCUUUUCUAGAUUUAUAGAAUCUAGAAAAGCCAAAACGACUAAUAAUUUGGGAUGGAGGGAGUAGUUGGCAUCAUCUGAUAAUGUAUAAAUUCAUUUGAUGAAAAUUUAAUGAUAAAUUGAUAAUAACCAACAGUAUUCAAACCACGCCAAAUAAAAAUUUGUCAACUAGUUAAACAU
rnacentral:lncRNA from 1 species